CGUGGGCCUGGUGUCCCCAGUUCACAGCCUGGUGCUCCGAGACGUUGAGCUACAGCUCCAGGGGUCACAGAGCAGACGGGCCCCCCAGUCUGCCGACCCCAGGCGGAUGAAAACCGAAGAACAGAUCACACGAGCACAGGGCAAAGCGGGGCCUCCACGAAGCGGCCCGCGCGCUGGGAAGGAACCAGAGAAGGUCUGCAGGAAAACUGGCCUUCCCACAGCAGGGCGUGUGAAACAGCAGCUCCCGGGCGCCGCGGCGUCACCACGGCGUCUGGCAGGAAGACUGAACCCCCCCCAUCCCCACCCCCCCACCCCCCGCCGUGGCCACUCCCCCACCUGAUCUGCCCUGUGGGGCCCUGAGAGUCAGAGCUGGGAACAGCUGCCCGCUUCCCAGGUUCAGAGCCAUCAUCAAGUAUCGAUUAAGCUCCCACUGUGUGCAAAGGGAGUUCCAAAGGGAUGGGAGCAGAGCGGAAUUCAUUUCCCCUUCUAACCGCAGCUGAUUUAGGGAUCCCCGGGCACAGCCGGGGUUUCAGAGGGAGAAAUGAUUUUUCUGUCCAGGAAGGGGAAGGGCAGGAGAGCCAUACACCCCGGUAUGUGCACACAUGUGUGUACAUAGGUGAGCGAGCACUGGCCCACAAGCAUGCUCGUGUGCACACACGUGUGCACGCGCACACGCAUGCACGCACACACAGUGGGUUUCUAAAGCAGCCCUCUUGAAUGCCGAGCUGCAGGUGGACAGAGCUCCCAACAAACGGGCCAGAGAGCCCUCUGCGUGCCGGCCUCACCUCUGCAAUCCCUGUUGGCUGCGAUUAAGAGCUAAAUAUUACUUGUAAUCUAAGCCACAACCCCAGAAACCCGAGUACGGCUGCACACAAUAAUCCCGAUGGUUGUUGUUAUCACCAGCGACGUGGUCGUUCCCCCUGCACCCCCACCCCGCCGGCACCAGCCAUAGCGCCGGGGUCAGACCCGCGCCUGGCGUCUCCCGUGCUUGCCCAUGGCC